rnacentral:rRNA from 1 species
AUUGAACGCUGGCGGCAGGCCUUACACAUGCAAGUCGAACGGCUGCGCGGGCUUUGGCCUUGCGGCGAGUGGCGGACGGGUGAGUAAUGCAUCGGAACGUGCCCAGUAGUGGGGGAUAGCCUGGCGAAAGCCGGACUAAUACCGCAUACGACCUGAGGGAGAAAGCGGGGGAUCUAAGGGCCUCGCGCUAUUAGAUCAGCCGAGGUCGGAUUAGCUAGUUGGUGGGGUAAAGGCUUACCAAGGCGACGAUCCGUAACUGGUCUGAGAGGAUGACCAGCCACACUGGAACUGAGACACGGCCCAGACUCCUACGGGAGGCAGCAGUGGGGAAUUUUGGACAAUGGGGGCAAGCCUGAUCCAGCCAUGCCGCGUGCGGGAAGAAGGCCUUCGGGUUGUAAAGCGCUUUUGUUCGGGAAGAAAUGCAGUAAGCUAAUACCUCGGGGGGAUGACGUUACCGGAAGAAUAAGCACCGGCUAACUACGUG